AACUUCUCUCUAGUGGAAUUAUCACUAUAGACUAUGUAAAGUCAAAGGAUAAUGUGUCGGAUCCACUUACAAAAGGCCUAUCUAGAGAAAGAGUAGAAAGAACAUUCAAGGGAAUGGGUUUAAGGCCUAGGACAAGUCAGUAUAACGGUAACUCUACCUAGCAAACUGGAGAUCCCAAGAGCUAGGUUCAAGGAGAUCAAACAAAGUUGUGUCUGACAGGUUCAACAUUGUCAAUUACCCAACCCAUUCUCAUGACGUAGACAAUGUAUAGUAAACAAGGAUAAGACUUAAGGUGAAAAUUCUUUUAAUGAUUAUCUAAAUUUGGCAGAUUUGACCAAAUAGUUUAAUCUACAGGAUUGAACGUUUAGAAAUCACCUAUGUGUGGGCGAAGUGGAAGCCGUUUCAAAGAAAAUGUUAGUAAAGGCCUAUUCUCUAAGCUCUCAUGAAAACCGGGACGUGUUCAUGGCUGAAAAGAACAAAACCGUAAGAACCAUAAACGGUAAAAGGCUGGUUGUGUGACAUGUGUUGUCAAGGCGUACAUUAAAGCUCGACGGUUCAAAGAAAUCAAAUCUACCGAUUGAUCGAGUGCAUCCGAUGCAUGUUCACUAUGGAAAGUUCAAAGGGAAACCCACUUAUCCA
rnacentral:lncRNA from 1 species